rnacentral:rRNA from 1 species
UACGUAGGUGGCAAGCGUUAUCCGGAUUUACUGGGUGUAAAGGGCGUGUAGGCGGGAAAGCAAGUCAGAUGUGUAAACCAUGGGCUCAACCUGUGGCCUGCAUUUGAAACUGUUUUUCUUGAGUACUGGAGAGGCAGACGGAAUUCCUAGUGUAGCGGUGAAAUGCGUAGAUAUUAGGAGGAACACCAGUGGCGAAGGCGGUCUGCUGGACAGCAACUGACGCUGAGGCGCGAAAGCGUGGGGAGCAAACAGG